AAAAUAAAAUAAAAAAGAAGUUGUUCAUUGUUCUUCGUCUCCUCCCUCCUCUUCCUUCUCUCUGCUAAAGGAGAAGAAGAAGAAGAAGAAGCCCUCUAACCCUAAACCUUUUUUCUCGAGCUCCAAUCAGUACUGCGACGCCGGGGUCUUCUGCUUCCUCUCUUUUGUCAAAGCUGCUCACCAUCUCCUCUAGUUGUGCGUGGUUCGAAUCUGUUGCAGCUGCGAGAGACGAAGCCCGUCGUAUACCACUGCUUGCUGCUUGCCGCUUGCCUGAAGCGCAGCAAGUCCAUCGCCGUACCAAGAAGAUCCAGCUCUCUCCUCGACCCCGCUAUCUCUUCUGACUCCGUGAUUGCAAAUUGGGGCUGUGAUUUUGUUAAAUAUUAGCAUGCUUUAGCCUUGCUCAUGCAAUUAUUAAUUGGAAUUUCUUCGAAUGGAACAUGAUUUUAAUCACAUGAUUGUCUGAAUUUUAAUCACUUUUUUUUUCUCUUUGGUUCAAUCUCUUUAUUUUGUUUCUUUGUUCUUGUCAAUAUAAUGUAUCAAUGCCUCUGUUAUUGGGAUUUCUCUGUUUUGCCAAAAAUCUGUAGUAUGGUGAAUUUUUUGGUUUCAUGGAUGCUUACCCUUUUUCAUAUUUUAAUAAGUAUUUAUGUGCUUAGAAGAGCAAUUGACUCUGGUUGCAAAUUCGGAUUGUUGGUGGAACGAAUGCAAAUUGGGACUGGUUUUCUAGUUGUUGGUGGACUAGCCUAGCUUGCUGGAUUGAUUAAUUAAUUAAUAGAAGGGAGUGGUGUCAUAAUCUGCAUUGACUCUGAAACAAGAAGUGAUGUCUCGGUUCCUUCAGUUUCUUAUAUGGUUGGCGAACUAAGAUGAAAAUGACUCUCUUUAGAAGGCCAUUUUAUUGUUCCGUACUAGAGAUUUCUGUGACUUAUUUUGGGUUCAUGGCUUGAUGUUUUGAACUCAUGAAGAAAAAAAACUUAUAGGAGAUUUUGCAAUAGGCACAGAUGAUGUGUACAGAACUGCAGAAGCAAUCAAACUUGCUGGAGCAAAGAUAAAGAAUGCAAAUUCCUUUGAUAGUUAACAUUCAUAUAAAAUUUUAUCAGCCUUUGAAGUUUUAAUAUAAUGAUAUCUUCUACUGUUGGAUAGCACAGUGACAUUGUGCAAGCUCUCAGAAGGGGGGAUCUUCGACAUGCACUCCAAGAUCAUGGCUCUUGGAGGCUGCUCCAUACUUCUACCAGCUACAACAAUCUAAUCCUCUCCACUAAAUUGCCUUGGCCUUAAUUAUUGGAAAUAUCUGAGCCAAAGGGAAAUGUUUUGCUAAGAUAUCAAGUCUGGUUCAAGUAGGACAGGUUAACUAGUGAGUAAAGGUAGAAAUCCCUUUGAAUGUCAUUUUAAGAUUUAUUGUUAAUGCUUCAAGCUCCCCAGUCCUAAUUAGCCAGGUUGCGGUUUUAACCAUUAACGCUCUAUAGAUUUUGUAAAUUGUAUUCAAGAAUAACGAAAGGGAAGAUUGGUUCCUGCUCAUUUUUGAGAAAGUGCCAUUUAAAGUGACAUAUAGAGAUAAUUAGAUGAA